GUUGCUGCAGCUGGUGUUGUGAAUCAGGCCGACGGCAAGCGCUUCCUACUAUCCGGCUAUUUCACUACACCAGGGUUGCAUCA
ensembl:miRNA microRNA 138-2